GAUGAACGCUGGCGGCGUGCUUAAUACAUGCAAGUCGAACGGAGACGUUAUAGCAAUAUGAUGUCUUAGUGGCGAACGGGUGAGUAACGCGUUGGUGACCUGCCCCGAAGUGCGGGAUAACAGCUCGAAAGGGCUGCUAAUACCUCAUGUGGUCCUAAGGGUUAGAGACCUCAGGACUAAAGGAGCAAUCCGCUUCGGGAGGGGCCUGCGUCCCAUCAGCUAGGUGGUAGGGUAAUGGCCUACCAAGGCGACGACGGGUAGGGGACCUGAGAGGGUGACCCCCCACACUGGCACUGAAACACGGGCCAUGCACCUACGGGUGGCAGCAGUAGGGAAUAUUGCACAAUGGGCGAAAGCCUGAUGCAGCAACGCCGCGUGGGCGAUGAAGGCCUUCGGGUCGUAAAGCGCUUUUCGGGGAGAUGAGGAAGGACAGUAUCCCCGGAAUAAGGCUCGGCUAACUACGUGCCAGCCGCCGCAGUAACAC
rnacentral:rRNA from 1 species